AUCCUUCAGCUCAUGAGUGUGAUGACUGAAUAUUCGUGCUGAAUGGAUGAGAUGGGCCUUACUCAAGCCUUGUUAUGAUGUGAGUACAUUACCAGUUAGACA